CCACGACCGAGAGCCUGUGCACGAUCCC
rnacentral:sRNA from 1 species